GGCUGUGUGGCUCAGUGGUAGAGUGCUUGCCUAGCACGUGUGAGGCACUGGGUUCAAUUCUCAGCACCA
rnacentral:tRNA from 1 species